rnacentral:rRNA from 1 species
CGUUAAGGAUGUUGACGUAAUUAACGCCUUCAUGCCUGCAUAUUCGUGCACUUUGGGUGUACUUGCCCGUGUGUAAGUUAACAUCAAUUUUGGUGGUCAUAAAAUGGCUGGAGGAAUGUAGCUUCGAUCUUGUAUUGAAGUGUUAUAGCCUUCGGUAGAUGUGACGAUCGGGAUUGAGGAUUGCAACGGAUACCCUUCGGGGCUACCUGUCUGAUCUCUGAUUGUUGCUCUGGUACCGAAAGCUUGCUUACGGUUAUCAAAGUCGAUGGUCAAUAGGUUAGAACGGGUUAAAUUCGUUAAGGAUGUUGACGUAA